AGUGAGCGCUGGCGGUAGGCCUAACACAUGCAAGUCGAACGGCAGCACAGUAAGAGCUUGCUCUUACGGGUGGCGAGUGGCGGACGGGUGAGGAAUACAUCGGAAUCUACUUUUUCGUGGGGGAUAACGUAGGGAAACUUACGCUAAUACCGCAUACGACCUACGGGUGAAAGCAGGGGAUCUUCGGGCCUUGCGCGAUUGAAUGAGCCGAUGUCGGAUUAGCUAGUUGGCGGGGUAAAGGCCCACCAAGGCGACGAUCCGUAGCUGGUCUGAGAGGAUGAUCAGCCACACUGGAACUGAGGCACGGUCCAGACUCCUACGGGAGGCAGCAGUGGGGAAUAUUGGACAAUGGGCGCAAGCCUGAUCCAGCCAUACCGCGUGGGUGAAGAAGGCCUUCGGGUUGUAAAGCCCUUUUGUUGGGAAAGAAAAGCAGCAGGUUAAUACCCCGCUGUUCUGACGGUACCCAAAGAAUAAGCACCGGCUAACUUCGUG
rnacentral:rRNA from 1 species